rnacentral:rRNA from 1 species
CCUACGGGAGGCUGCAGUGGGGAAUAUUGGACAAUGGGCGAAAGCCUGAUCCAGCCAUGCCGCGUGUGUGAAGAAGGCCUUCGGGUUGUAAAGCACUUUCAGUGGGGAAGAAAGCCUUGGGGCUAAUACCCUCGAGGAAGGACAUCACCCACAGAAGAAGCACCGGCUAACUCCGUGCCAGCAGCCGCGGUAAUACGGAGGGUGCGAGCGUUAAUCGGAAUCACUGGGCGUAAAGCGCGCGUAGGCGGUCUGAUAAGCCGGUUGUGAAAGCCCCGGGCUCAACCUGGGAACGGCAUCCGGAACUGUCAGGCUAGAGUGCAGGAGAGGAAGGUAGAAUUCCCGGUGUAGCGGUGAAAUGCGUAGAGAUCGGGAGGAAUACCAGUGGCGAAGGCGGCCUUCUGGACUGACACUGACGCUGAGGUGCGAAAGCGUGGGUAGCAAACAGGAUUAGAUACCCCUGUAGUC